UACGUAGGGGGCAAGCGUUGUCCGGAAUCAUUGGGCGUAAAGCGCGUGUAGGCGGCCCGGUAAGUCCGCUGUGAAAGUCCAGGGCUCAACCCUGGGAUGCCGGUGGAUACUGUCGGGCUCGAGUCCGGAAGAGGAGUGUGGAAUUCCUGGUGUAGCGGUGAAAUGCGCAGAUAUCAGGAGGAACACCUGCGGUGUAGACGGCUUACUGGACCAUGACUGACGCUGAGGCACGAAAGCGUGGGGAGCAAACAGG
rnacentral:rRNA from 1 species